rnacentral:rRNA from 1 species
CAUGUAGGCGGUUUUUUAAGUCUGGAGUGAAAAUGCGGGGCUCAACCCCGUAUGGCUCUGGAUACUGGAAGACUUGAGUGCAGGAGAGGAAAGUGGAACUCCAUGUGUAGCGGUGAAAUGCGUAGAUAUAUGGAAGAACACCAGUGGCGAAGGCGGCUUUCUGGACUGUAACUGACGUUGAGGCUCGAAAGUGUGGGUAGCAAACA